CCUACGGGAGGCAGCAGUAGGGAAUUUUCGUCAAUGGGCGCAAGCCUGAACGAGCGAUGCCGCGUGAGUGAAGAAGGCCUUCGGGUCGUAAAGCUCUGUUGCGGGGGAAAAAAGGCAGCAUCAGGAAAUGGGUGCUGCCUGAUGUUGCCCCGCCAGAAAGUCACGGCUAACUACGUGCCAGCAGCCGCGGUAAUCCGUAGGUGGCGAGCGUUAUCCGGAAUGGUUGGGCGUAAAGGGUGCGCAGGCGGUCCGGCAAGUCUGGAGUGAAACGCAUGGGCUCAACUCAUGCAUGGCUUUGGAAACUGGAGGACUGGAGAGCAGGUGAGGGAGGUGGAACUCCAUGUGUAGCGGUAAAAUGCGUAGAUAUAUGGAAGAACACCAGUGGCGAAGGCGGCCGCCUGGCCUGUUGCUGACGCUGAGGCACGAAAGCGUGGGGAGCAAAUAGGAUUAGAUACCCGAGUAGUC
rnacentral:rRNA from 1 species